CAUAGUAGGUACUUAAUAAAUAUUUGAUGAAUGAUGAUCCACAUUAUAGAUCUCUUUCUAGUUUUUUUCAAGAGCUUUUGCAUUCUUUAGGUUAUUUAACACACACGAGGACUUAAAUAACACUAACACUCAUGCCCCUAGUGUAGGCAUCCCUUCUACAACAUUCUCUAAAAAAUAGUGGAGUGCGAACUCCAUAGAUAGACCUGGGUUUGAGUCCAAGAUUGGCUAUCUCCAAGCUGUUCUGGUCCUCGGUUUUCUUAUUUGUAAAAUACCUUUUUUAAGGUAUUUAAGGUAUUUCUAGUUCAAACUAAAUUUGACGCUAUAGGCAAAGGAGCAGUAAUCAUUAAUGUUAACCUUGUGAUUACUGUUACUUGGAAGGCAGACUGUUCAUGAAGCUGCCCAUCUGAAUGUGUUUUUUUCCAAAUGAAAAGUAGAAAUGUUCCACUUCUGUGAUUUCUCUCUGUCCCCUGGGGCAUAAUGGAUGAGGAUUGAUUUUUCUUUCCAUUUAUUCAGCAAAUAUUAAUUCAGUACUGCUAUGUGCCAAGCAGUGUGCAAGAUCUGGAAUUACUGGGAUGAAUAAAAGCAACGGUCUCUGUCCUCAUGACGCUUACAGUCUAGCAGAGGAAUAAGACAUUACACUACUAAUUUUAGUUGUGAAAAAUUCUGCAUAGAAGUGCAGGUUGCUGUGAGCAGAUAUAGGAACAACAACAACAAUAAUGUAAUAGAAGGAGUAGCUAACAUUUAUAUAGCACUUACCUAUAUAUGUGCCAGUCACUAGCAUUUUCUGUAUUAACGCAUGUAAUCCUAACAACCCUGAGGUAGAUACUGUGAUUAUCCCACUUUACACUUGAGAAAACUGAGACACAGCUGGUCACAUUGUAACUGCCAUGGCCACCUUGCUAAGAAGUGACAGAGCUAGGAUUUAAACCUGGCCCCAGAAACCUCGUUGUUUGCUACUUUAUAGUACUGGGACCUCAUCCAAAGGAGGGCUGUUGGGAGGCUUCUUAAGGAAGAGAUACUCGAAAUCUGAAAGUCGAAAUUAAGCAGGAGAAGGCAUGCAAAAGAGCUGGGUGGGAAAGAACACGACUACUUAGAGGAGCAGAGAGCAACAGAUGAAAGAGUGGGGGAGGAGAUCUGGUUGGGACGGGCAAGGCCACGGGGGAGGAUUCAGGAUCGGGUUUGUCCUACGAGGCAUGCGAGUUACAAAUGUACUUGAGAUGGGAAUGGCAUGAUGAGUCCCUUGCUUCAGAGGCACAGAAGCUGCUGGGAGGACUGUCGUUCAGAGAGUUGAACACCAUGCCCACCACUUCCCCAAGGCGUGUCUCCAGGUUGAACCUCCCAGUUCCCUCACCUUCCUCACAUAAUUUGGUUCCCAGACCUUGGUGUGCCUCAUCAUUGGAACUUUGUGUAGAACUUUGGAAUAGUGUGGAGUGUAUUUAUUUAAUAGUCGUUUCCCCCCAAGGUUCAAGCACUGUCUUCCUGUUGGCCCUGACAAUCAUAGCCAGCGCCCAUGCUCUGACGCCCACUCACUACCUCACUAGGCAUGAUGUGGAGAGACUGAAAGCCUCGCUGGAUCGCCCUUUCACAAGUUUGGAAUCUGCUUUCUACUCCAUCGUGGGACUCAGCAGCCUUGGUGCCCAGGUGCCAGAUGUAAAGCAAGCAUGCACCUUCAUUAAAUCAAACCUUGAUCCAAGCAACGUGGAUUCCCUUUUCUAUGCUGCCCAGUCCAGCCAGGCCCUCUCAGGGUGUGAGAUCUCUAUUUCAAAUGAGACCAAAGAUCUGCUUCUGGCAGCUGUCAGUGAAGACUCCUCCGUGGCCCAGAUCUACCACGCAGUUGCAGCCCUAAGUGGCUUUGGCCUUCCUCUGGCUUCCCAAGAAGUGCUCGGUGCCCUUACCUCUCGCCUCAGCAAGGAGGAGACUGUGCUCGCAACAGUCCAGGCUCUACAGACGGCAUCCUACCUGUCCCAGCAGGCUGACCUGAGAAGCAUUGUGGAGGAGAUUGAGGACCUUGUUGCUCGCCUGGAUGAACUGGGAGGUGUGUAUCUUCAGUUUGAAGAGGGACUGGAAACAACGGCAUUGUUUUUGGCUGCCACCUACAAGCUCAUGGACCACGUGGGCACCGAGCCAUCCAUUAAGGAGGAUCAGGUCAUCCAGCUAAUGAAUGCCAUCUUCAGCAAGAAGAACUUUGAGUCACUCUCAGAAGCCUUCAGUGUGGCCUCUGCUGCCGCUGCACUCUCCCAGAAUCGCUUCCAUGUACCUGUUGUGGUUGUGCCUGAGGGCUCUCCUUCCUACACUCAGGAACAGGCUGUCCUACGGUUGCAGGUCACCAAUGUUCUGUCCCAGCCUCUGACUCAGGCCACUGUUAAACUAGAACACGCUAAAUCCGUUGCCUCCAGAGCCACAGUCCUCCAGAAGACAUCGUUCACCCCUGUGGGGGAUGUUUUUGAGCUAAACUUUGUGAAUGUCAAAUUUUCCAGUGGCUAUUAUGACUUCUCUGUCAAAGUUGAAGGUGACAACCGUUAUAUUGCAAAUACUGUAGAGCUCAGAGUCAAGAUUUCCACUGAAGUUGGCAUCACAAAUGUCGAUCUCUCCACUGUGGAUAAGGAUCAGAGCAUUGCACCCAAAACCACGCGGGUGACCUACCCAGCCAAAGCCAAGGGCACAUUCAUCGCAGACAGCCACCAGAACUUUGCUUUAUUCUUCCAGCUGGUAGAUGUGAACACUGGUGCUGAACUCACCCCUCACCAGACAUUUGUCCGACUCCAUAACCAGAAGACUGGCCAGGAGGUGGUAUUUGUUGCGGAGCCGGACAGCAAGAACGUGUACAAGUUUGAACUGGAUACCUCUGAGAGAAAGCUCGAAUUUGACUCUGCGUCCGGCACCUACAGUCUCUACUUGAUCAUCGGAGAUGCUACUUUGAAGAACCCAAUCCUGUGGAAUGUGGCUGAUGUGGUCAUCAGGUUCCCUGAAGAAGAUGCUCCGUCGACUGUCCUGUCCAAGAACCUUUUCACCCCCAAACAGGAAAUUCAGCACCUGUUCCGCGAGCCGGAGAAGAGGCCCCCCACGGUGGUGUCCAAUACAUUCACCGCCCUGAUCCUCUCGCCCUUGCUCCUGCUCUUUGCUCUGUGGAUCCGGAUUGGUGCCAACGUCUCCAACUUCACUUUUGCUCCUAGCACGAUUACCUUUCACCUGGGACAUGCUGCUAUGCUGGGGCUCAUGUAUGUCUACUGGACGCAACUCAACAUGUUCCAGACCCUGAAGUACCUGGCCAUCUUGGGCAGUGUGACGUUUCUGGCUGGCAAUCGCAUGCUGGCCCAGCAGGCAAUCAAGAGGAUCGCUGCAGAGCAGAGCAGUAGAUUGGCAAAAUAUAGGACACUACGUUUAGACAUCGAGUCUGAUCACUGACAAGAACAUGACCACACGAUAGGAAUAUGGUGCAGAUUUCUGUACCGAAAGGUCAGAAUGUCAUCUUCCAAGCUACGUGAGGGCAUGUGUUGUUUGGCAGACCUGGAGUCCGGGAAAUUGAAGACGAGCGUUCUUCUAUUCAUCUAGUUGAAAUGUACAGUGUCUUUUUGGCCUUGUACUGUGAGAGGUGUGCCUGGAAUUACCUCAUCUUGUGUUUUCACAUACCACACUUACUUAGGUAUCAUCAGAACAGCACAUUAGUUCCAGGAAAAAGAAGGAGAUUCUGAAAGCUUAAGUGAAUAUCAAGAGAAGGAGUCAAGAAUAAUUCAUAGUUUGAGAAGAGGAAUGAAAAAAACCCUUUAUUUAAAAAGAAAAAAGUCAAAAUCGUUUUGCUUGUUUUUCUAUUUCCCCAACACAGAGCAGGUACCUGUGAGCCCAGAUACUCUGUUUCUGUGGCAUGGUGCCCUAGCAAGAUGCUGUGAAUAUUCUAACUUACCCACAUGUUGCAUUGAAAAGUUGAAAUCUGUAAUUAAUCUGUUAUGGAAUAAAGAGAAUAAUAGGAAUGAA